rnacentral:tRNA from 1 species
UGGGGAGUCGUCUAACGGUAGGACACCGGGUUUUGGUCUCGGCGGUUGGGGUUCGAGUCCCUACUCCCCAGCAA